rnacentral:rRNA from 1 species
GACGAACGCUGGCGGCGUGCUUAACACAUGCAAGUCGAACGGUAAGGCCCUUCGGGGUACACGAGUGGCGAACGGGUGAGUAACACGUGGGUGAUCUGCCCUGCACUUCGGGGUAAGCCUGGGAAACUGGGUCUAAUACCGGAUAGGACCACUGCCUGCAUGGGUGGUGGUGGAAAGCUUUUGCGGUGUGGGAUGGGCCCGCGGCCUAUCAGCUUGUUGGUGGGGUGAUGGCCCACCAAGGCGACGACGGGUAGCCGGCCUGAGAGGGUGACCGGCCACACUGGGACUGAGAUACGGCCCAGACUCCUACGGGAGGCAGCAGUGGGGAAUAUUGCACAAUGGGCGCAAGCCUGAUGCAGCGACGCCGCGUGAGGGAUGACGGCCUUCGGGUUGUAAACCCCUUUCAGCACCGACGAAGCGCAAGUGACGGUAGGUGCAGAAGAAGGACCGGCCAACUACGUGCCAGCCGCCGCAGUAA